rnacentral:rRNA from 1 species
AACGUAGGUGGCGAGCGUUAUCCGGAUUUACUGGGCGUAAAGGGUGUGCAGGCGGGGGGUCAAGUGGUGUAUGAAAUGGCCCGGCUUAACCGGGCAGCGGUAUGCCAGACUGGCCUUCUUGGGUGCGAGAGAGGGGCGUGGAAUUCCGGGUGUAGUGGUGAAAUGCGUAGAUAUCGGGAGGAACACCGGUGGCGAAGGCGGCCCCCUGGUUGGAUACUGACGCUGAGACGCGAAAGCGUGGGGAGCAAACAGG